UACGUAGGGUGCAAGCGUUAUCCGGAACUAUUGGGCGUAAAGAGCUCGUAGGCGGUUUGUCGCGUCUGCUGUGAAAACUGGGGGCUCAACCCCCAGCCUGCAGUGGGUACGGGCAGACUAGAGUGCGGUAGGGGAGAUUGGAAUUCCUGGUGUAGCGGUGGAAUGCGCAGAUAUCAGGAGGAACACCGAUGGCGAAGGCAGAUCUCUGGGCCGUAACUGACGCUGAGGAGCGAAAGCAUGGGGAGCGAACAGG
rnacentral:rRNA from 1 species